GAUGAACGCUGGCGGCGUGCCUAAUACAUGCAAGUCGAGCGAACAGACGAGGAGCUUGCUCCUCUGACGUUAGCGGCGGACGGGUGAGUAACACGUGGAUAACCUACCUAUAAGACUGGGAUAACUUCGGGAAACCGGAGCUAAUACCGGAUAAUAUAUUGAACCGCAUGGUUCAAUAGUGAAAGACGGUUUUGCUGUCACUUAUAGAUGGAUCCGCGCCGCAUUAGCUAGUUGGUAAGGUAACGGCUUACCAAGGCGACGAUGCGUAGCCGACCUGAGAGGGUGAUCGGCCACACUGGAACUGAGACACGGUCCAGACUCCUACGGGAGGCAGCAGUAGGGAAUCUUCCGCAAUGGGCGAAAGCCUGACGGAGCAACGCCGCGUGAGUGAUGAAGGUCUUAGGAUCGUAAAACUCUGUUAUUAGGGAAGAACAAAUGUGUAAGUAACUAUGCACGUCUUGACGGUCCCUAAUCAGAAAGCCACGGCUCACUACGUG
rnacentral:rRNA from 1 species